rnacentral:rRNA from 1 species
UACGGAAGGGGCAAGCGUUGUUCGGAAUCAUUGGGCGUAAAGGGCGCGUAGGCGGUUCUGUAUGUCUACCGUGAAAGCAUACAGCUCAACUGUAUUUUGUCGGUAGAAACUGCAGGACUUGAGGCUUGGAGGGGCUGGUGGAAUUCCCUGUGUAGCGGUGAAAUGCGCAGAUAUCGGGAGGAACACCAGUGGCGAAGGCGGCACUCUGGGCCGGUACUGACGCUGAGGAGCGAAAGCGUGGGGAGCGAACAGG